rnacentral:rRNA from 1 species
CCUACGGGAGGCAGCAGUGAGGAAUAUUGGUCAAUGGGCGGAAGCCUGAACCAGCCAAGUAGCGUGCAGGAUGACGGCCCUACGGGUUGUAAACUGCUUUUAUACGGGAAUAACGCGCCUUACGUGUAGGGCUUUGCAUGUACCGUAUGAAUAAGGACCGGCUAAUUCCGUGCCAGGAGCCGCGGUACUACGGUAGGUCCGGGCGUUAUCCGGUUUUAUUGGGUUUAAAGGGAGCGUAGGCCGCCGGUCUAGCGUGCUGUGAAAUGCCCGGGGUCAACCCGGGCCUUGCAGCGCGGACUGGCGUGCUUGAGUCCGCGGAAAGCAGGCGGAAUUCGUCGUGUAGCGGUGAAAUGCUUAGAUAUGACGAAGAACCCCGAUUGCGAAGGCAGCUUGCUGCAGCGGAACUGACGCUGAUGCUCGAAAGCGCGGGUAUCGAACAGGAUUAGAUACCCGAGUAGUC